AAACCACAUCCUCCAUUAACCUAUUAUUCUAGAGGGUCUUGAACGGUGGAUUGGAGAUGGUGCUCUUUUGUAGUACAAUCCACCGCAAGUUUGGAGCGAUAGAAGAUUUUCAAGGACGAUCCGAGGAUACGUGAUCAGCCUCUAUGAUCCGGGCUCGUCGCGUUCUAGCGCGAAUCACUUCCGCAAAAAGUUAUAAGAAGCGUGCCGAUCAGACUAUGAAACAACACGUGAGAAUAAUGUCAAACAUGAUUCGCGAGUUAAAGUCGGUUGGCGACACCUUAACUGAUGAGCAGCAAAUCCAAGCUAUGAUUCACUUCCCAAUUCGUGGGAACAUACGCGAGUAAAUUUGACACAUAAUGAGAAUAUCAAAAUUUUUGAGGAUGUUGCGUGGCAUCUGGAGUUGGAGGAGAAGCGCCUUAAGGCUGUUAAAACUCUAACUGCCAAUGUUGCUGAGUCAAACUUUCGCAGAACAUCUGGGUUCAAGCGAAAGAGGACUACCGGACCUCAAAAUCGUAGUGGAUCCGCGCCUAAGAACGCGAAGAACAGUAAAAGAAAGAGAAGCAAACAAGGUGGCAAAAAAGACAAGUUAAAGAUGACAUGUUUCAAUUGUAAUCAGCUGGGACACUUCGCUCGUGAUUGCACUAAGCCGAAGAAGACUCAGGAGCAACAGACCACGUAGCGAGGGAUCGGAUGGGAUUCGUCAAGUACCGUCGUGUGCCUGCUGGGAGCAGAAGAGUAUACAUGGGGAAUGAUUCCAGUGUCGAUGUAUUAGGCGUUGGCACAUACAAGUUGAUAAUGCAAGGUGGUCGAACUUUGUACUUACAUGAUGUACUUUAUGCUCCAAAAAUUUGGCGGAAUUUGUUUUCUAUUCUUGCUAUGCUACAGUU